rnacentral:rRNA from 3 species
CAUAUGCUUGUCUCAAAGAUUAAGCCAUGCAUGUCUCAGUACAAGCCACAUUAAGGUGAAACCGCGAAAGGCUCAUUAAAUCAGUUAUGGUUCCUUAGAUCGUACCCACAUUUACUUGGAUAACUGUGGUAAUUCUAGAGCUAAUACAUGCAAACAGAGUUCCGACCGGAGACGGGAGGAAUGCUUUUAUUAGAUCAAAACCAAUCGGCGGCGGGCCUCGGUCCGUUCGCCGCUCAACUUGGUGACUCUGAAUAACUUUCGGCUGAUCGCACGGUCUCGCACCGGCGACGCAUCUUUCAAAUGUCUGCCUUAUCAACUGUCGAUGGUAGGUUCUGCGCCUACCAUGGUCGUAACGGGUAACGGGGAAUCAGGGUUCGAUUCCGGAGAGGGAGCCUGAGAAACGGCUACCACAUCCAAGGAAGGCAGCAGGCGCGCAAAUUACCCACUCCCGGCACGGGGAGGUAGUGACGAAAAAUAACGAUACGGGACUCAUCCGAGGCCCCGUAAUCGGAAUGAGUACACUUUAAAUCCUUUAACGAGGAUCAAUUGGAGGGCAAGUCUGGUGCCAGCAGCCGCGGUAAUUCCAGCUCCAAU